ensembl:lncRNA
GCAGAACACAGGCAGUGCACGGCCGGCCGGCCGACCACGGUCCUGCUUCUCGGCUGACUCCACGCUUGCAGCCAAACUCGCAGCUUUAUUAAGAAUUUGGAAAGGUCACAGGGAAUUCUCUCACUACCCAUAGAGGGACUGCUGAAGCAUCUGAAAGCACCUGAUUCACUUAAAACAACAAGAUAAAACCUGAGCUGUUACAACAUGUCUAAAACUCGACGGGGCUCAUGAAGCACACGCAGGCGAACCUUCUUCCUUUCUUCUGCCCACAGAGAAGCUCAGCUAUGUAAAAGCCACUGGAGUCAUGGUUUCAAGAAAAGAAAAUGGUUUGUGUUUUUCUUAUCAUGGUGGAAGGGAGACACACACGGCUUAACAGUUAACAGCAAGAAGGAGCCUUUCAAAGACUUCCCCCUCCUCCCCCAGCUAAUUUCAGGGGACUCUGUUCCAGUGGGCAUUGAACAUAUACUGGUGGGCUGCCGUCUACGGGACACGACUGAAGCGACUCAGCAGCAGCAGCACAUCCAGCAAACAGAUUCAUAGAUAAUAUCCAUAAGAUCUGGAAACUAAAGAGCAAAUUGAGAACAGCACUUGGUAGAGUGGAGACCAGGAAGCUAAAACUGGAAAAUGCCCCACAGAUGAUUCCAACGCCAACAGAAAGGAAAUCCAAGCAAACAUGAGGUUCGCUCACGAGGAUCAGAACACAACCCCAGGGGUACUGUUGGAGGAAGGCAAACGAUCGGUUCGUUCAUUUUUCAACUGAUUCUCGUGCUCGUGUGCAGAUGCGGCUUCAAAAGCUGAACUGCCAAGGGCAGAAGACCUGGGGCUCAGUGAUGUCCGACCCUUUGUGACUCCAUGGACUGCAGCACGCCAGGCUUCCCUGUCCUUCAGCAGCUUCUGGAGUUUGCUCAGACUCAUGUCCACUGAGAUAGUUUAUUACAAGUUAUUGAACAUAGUCCCCUGUGCUCUACAGUAGGAUCUUGUCUUUAUCCCCUACAUGUGUAAUAGUUUGUACUCUACAGUAGGAUCUGGUCUUUAUCCC